GACGACGCUGGCGGCGUGGAUUAGGCAUGCAAGUCGAACGGUAUCAUCCUUUCGGGGGUGAGAGAGUGGCGAACUGGUGAGUAACACGUAGGUUAUCUACCCUCAAGACGGGGACAACCCAGGGAAACUUGGGCUAAUACCGGAUGUGAGCAACUUUUAGUUGUCUGAAAGGUGGCGUAAGCUGUCGCUUGGGGAUGAGCCUGCGUCCUAUUAGUUAGUUGGUGAGGUAACGGCUCACCUAGGCAAUGAUAGGUAGGCGGCCUUAACGGGUGGUCGCCCACACUGGGAUUGAGAUACGGCCCGGACUCCUACGGGAGGCAGCAGUCGAGAAUAGUCUACAAUGGUCGGAAGACUGAUAGUGCGACGCCGCGUGAACGAUGAAUCCCUUCGGGGUGUAAAGUUCUUUUAUAUGUGAGCAGUGCUUCUUAUAUUAACAGUAUGGGGAGAGAGAUAUUAGCAUAUGAAUAAGCAACGGCUAACUCCGUG
rnacentral:rRNA from 1 species